UUUCUAUCACAAUACAGUAACUGAAAAUGUUGACAAACAGCACUGAAAAUGUCCUUUAUUGAAAAGGAUAAAAAAGGCCAGAAGAAUCAGGGUUAGGGUUGUGCAGCAUUAGGGCACUGGAACUUUUUUCUGUACAAUUCAGGCACUGCUAAAUUCUGAACCAAUUUUCAGAAAAUCUGUUUUUUAAGAAACAUUAGAAAUUGUUUAUUGGUUCCUUAUUAAGUUUAUACCGUUACGCGAACCCAGGACGAUCAAUAACAAUAUCUAUACACUAGUCUAUACAUCUUAUACUAUACUAGUACAAACCCAUACAUAGCUAUGUAUGAAUCAGCUGUUGAAUGGAUGGAUGUACUUCUGUUCUGCUUUAUCUGUACUGGUCUUGUUUUUAUUUGGUUGCUUUCUUGUUCAACAGAGAAGUCCAGUGACAUGACCGUGCCCAUCACUGCUGCAGCAGUUGUUCUUGUACUCAUCCUCAUCACUGCAGUUGGACUCAUGGCUUACAAAAAGAGGAAAGCCAAAUGCCCUCCAUCUCGUAAGUAAAACCUGCUUUUAUCUUUUUCAACUGAUCUGACACACACUUUAUGCUGUAGAUUAAACAGGGUUUCACAUUAUUGUGCAGAUGAACUUUGGACUUUCACUGUUUGACGCUGUUUGUUUCUGACCUUACAGCUCCUGUCGACGGAUCGGAGCUCUCUGAGAAACUGAAUCCAGAGACCUGAUUGUGAAACACACUCAAUGAAGUUCCUUCAUAUAACACGUGUCACUUUAUUUAGCUUUACAGAACUUAGACUGACUAAAACAUGCCUUCCUGUCACAAAGUGAUGUAGUAGUUUAUGGCUUUUAUAUGUAAAUGUUAAAUGUAAUCGUUUAUUUAACAAUAGAAAUCUAUAAUUAAUAUUCUAAAUCUAAUUUAAAAACAAUUUGCUUGAUUAUUUUCACAAAUCAAUUCUAUUUCCUUUACCCUUCAUUUUACAUUGAUGCAGUAAUGUUUUCAAUUAAAUUCCUUAAAUUACUGUUUUUGAUCAUGUUAGAAUAAUAUUUUAUGGUUUUAGAAUAACUACAAUAACUAUAGGUUUCUGUAAACACUGUAUACAAUUGUGAAAAUCACCUCUUGUUGAAAAGAUGAUAUAUAUAUUUUUUUUUUUAUUUGGUGCGACAGGUCAGAGGAAAACUUUCUCAUACCACAGGUUUUUCAAACGAGUAGCUAGACAGUGAUGGUGGUUGGACUGCUGAGCGGGCCAUUGCAUUCACAUGAAGUUGCAGUUUAGCCUGAGCAGACACAAUGUAGAUAUAAAGCCAUGUCAUACAGCAAAGUAUCUGCUGUUUGCUUGAGUGAAUGAAGGAUUUAGAGGCAGCUUAGGUUAGGUUGGGUUAGAGAUGCAGUCAGUGCGGUCAGUUAUGACGGUACAGUCUGAUACCCACUGUAGGGCUUGAUGAUAGGUAGAGACAUCAUUUCACAUGAAUACUGGGCCUGAUGAAAAUAAAUAAAUAAAUGAAAAUAAAUGAAGGUCAAAAUCAAAUGUGUAUAUCUGUACACAUAAAUGAAUUUGUGUAAUGAUAAUAAAAACCUUCUUUAGAUCUUUCAAUUAUUAUUAUGCAAUUAAGAAUUAUAUUUACCUUUUAUUUUCCAUUUUUCUACAACAAUAAAAAAAAUAUGACUUUUUUUAUGACUCACUGAUUUUUGUCGUUGUUGUUGUUUUGGAAGUAGCAUUAAGGGAACGAUGGUUGAAGGGGAAACAAGCAUUUGGUGAGGGAGGUGGUGUCGUUUAGAGUGAUAAAAAGAGAGGCUGUAUUUUCACCAGUUUGUCACAAAUAGAUGAAGAAGCCUGUGUGUUAUCAUUACAUUUGUAACACUGUUCUUCAAGUGCUGCAUUAAAUGUAGCAGUUUGUGUGAUAUGUUACAGUAAAAUAAUUCAUAAAUACAUUGUCCAAAAAGCCUAGAUAAUAAAUAUUGUUACUGACAUCAAAUAUGAAUGUACUUUACUAAUGUACUUUAGGUCCCAAUAUGAGGAACUCAUAUGAGGAAAAUUUCCCUUAAUUAUCUAAACAAACAAACAAACAAACAAACAAACAGUAAAAUAAGUCAAAAUUGUACAUAUAGUUUGGGACAUGACAGAAAAUGUGUAUAUAUUUCUUUUAGUCCACGCCUACCGUAAUAAACACUCUGACAGCUGCUCCCUUUACCACAGUUCAGCACUCUGUGGCUCACAUUACAGUAGAAACCACAGUGGACCCAGCUCGCUCUUUACCCACAAGUCUUAACCAAAAACACAAUGAAAAACGUCUUUUUGUUGAUUCUCUUGUGUCACGUUUCAUCAGCAUCUUAGUUGUACAGUAAAUAGACCGCCAUCACAUUGCUUUGAAAACCUGGAACCACUAGCUGCCAGUCAGCAUGUAAUCCAUAACUCAGGUCCUGGUUAGACUUGUUUGCUCUGUCCAACACAAACUACUCAUCAUACUCAAAUCAAGUUUCAAAUCAAGUUUAUUUGUAUAGCCCUUUACAAUAGCCGAAAGGUACCCAAAGUGCUUUACAACAGAGCCAUGAAACAGUACAUAACACAUAUAUAACAUACAAAUACAAUUUAAAGUGCUGCAGCACUGCAGGGUAUUAAAAGCCUUCCAGAAAUGCACAGAAAGGAGCAGAUAAAAAGAGUACACCUAAGAGACAGUACUGUCCUAUUCAGAAUUAAAAGCUAAUCUAAAAAAGUGGGUCUUAAGUUUCGAUUUAAAAAGGCCGAGAUCAGUAGUGGUACGAAUGUCAGGGGGCAGUUUGUUCCACAGUCUAGGAGCAGCGACGGCAAAAGAACGAUCGCCCCACUGUUUAAGUCUGGACCUAGGGACUUCUAACAGAAGCUGACCUGAAGAGCGCAAGGCUCUGCCACAAUUGCGAAAAGUUAAAAUCUCUGACAAGUAAGAGGGGGCCGAGCCGUUAAUGGUGUUAAAAACAAACAACAAAAGUUUAAAAUCAAUUCUAAAACGGACUGGAAGCCAGUGGAGUGACGACAGCACAGGAGUAAUAUGUUCACGUCUGGACGUGCUAGUUAAAAAUCGGGCAGCAGCGUUCUGCACAAGUUGGAGACGAGAAAUUGAGGACUGACUGAGGCCGACGUAAAGGGGAUUACAGUAGUCCAGUCUUGAGCUGAUAAAAGCAUGGAUUGCCUUCUCAAGAUCCUGCCGACUGAGAAAAGACUUCACUUUGGCCAAAAGACGGAGCUGAAAAAAGCUCGUACUGACAACAGAGCUAAUCUGUUUGUCAAAUUUGAGCCCAGUAUCAAAUGUUACCCCAAGAUUUUUGACAUGUGAUUUAAAAAGGGGGGCCAGAGUGCCAGAAUUUGUGGUGAGAGCAUUCGACUUAGCUGGUGAACCAAACAAAAUGCAUUCAGUUUUGCUGUCAUUUAAGUGCAAAAAGUUCUGUGACAGCCACUGUUUUAUAUCUGUGAUGCAGUCCAGCAGUUUAGUAAGUGCAGUGUUUUCGUUUGGGCAAAUAUAUCUGCAAAUCAUCGGCAUAAAAGUGAAAAGACAGGUUGUGUUUUUUUAUAAUUGAUCCCAGAGGUAGCAUAUACAAUGAAAACAGAAUAGGGCCGAGAAUAGAUCCCUGUGGCACCCCACAGGGCAGCGAUGCAUUUGAGGAGCAGUGGUCACCAAUCGAGACAGAGAAACUCCUGUUUGCCAGGUAUGACCUAAACCACUGGAGAGCGGUGCCACGGAUGCCAACGUGCUGCUCUGACAAGAUGUCUUUUCCUUCACUGUAAAGUCCAUUCUCAGUGUCUGUGCACUG
rnacentral:lncRNA from 15 species